rfam:Ciona savignyi cont_33486, whole genome shotgun sequence.
GAUCUCGUCUGAUCUCGAAAGUCAAGCAAUCUCGGGCUUGGUUAGUACUUGGAUGGGUGACCGCUUGGGAAUACCAAGUGUGAUAAGCA